rnacentral:ncRNA from 6 species
GGGUGAACCUGCGGAAGGAUCAUUA